GCUUCCCUCACACUUGGAGGAAAGACAGUUAAAAUUUCAACUCAUGAGUGCCCGUGCGGAUGCUCUUAAGACAAGGUAAAAAUGCAGUUGAAUUCAACACACUCUCAGACCUGACCCUCUGGAAAAUCUCUGCAAGGUCACAGCUCAUCAGUACCGUGACAAAACAAGGACACCCUAUAUAGUGUGAUUACUAUGGAGUAUUUCCGGAACAGCCUCGAAUGCAAAUAAAGUUCUAGUCUCCAAAAAUGCUCACUUG
rnacentral:lncRNA from 1 species